GCAAGUCGAACGAAGUCGCCCAAUUGAUUCUUAGUGCUUGCAUUAAGAUGAUUUUGGAUCCGACUGAGUGGCGAACUGGUGAGUAACACGUGGGUAACCUGCCCAGAAGAAGGGGAUAACACCUGGAAACAGAUGCUAAUACCGUAUAACAACAAGAACCACAUGGUUCUUGUUUGAAAGCUGGCCUUUGUGCUAGUGCUUCUGGAUGGACCCGCGGCGUAUUAGCUAGUUGGUGAGAUAAUAGCUCACCAAGGCAAUGAUACGUAGCAGACCUGAGAGGGUAAUCUGCCACAAUGGGACUGAGACACGGCCCAUACUCCUACGGGAGGCAGCAGUAGGGAAUCUUCCACAAUGGACGAAAGUCUGAUGGAGCAACGCCGCGUGAGUGAAGAAGGGUUUCGGCUCGUAAAACUCUGUUGUUAGAGAAGAACAGCCGUGAGAGCAACUGCUCACGGUAUGACGGUAUCUAACCAGAAAGUCACGGCUAACUACGUGCCAGCAGCCGCGGUAAUACGUAGGUGGCAAACGUUGUCCGGAUUUAUUGGGCGUAAAGGGAGCGCAGGCGGUUUAUUAAGUCUGAUGUGAAAGCCUUCGGCUUAACCGGAGAAGUGCAUCGGAAACUGAUAAACUUGAGUGCAGAAAAGGAUAGUGGAACUUCAUGUGUAGCGGUGAAAUGCGUAGAUAUAUGAAAGGAACACCAGUGGCGAAGGCGGCUAUCUGGUCUGUAACUGACGCUGAGGCUCGAAAGCAUGGGUAGCAAACAGGAUUAGAUACCCUGGUAGUCCAUGCCGUAAACGAUGAUGCUAGG
rnacentral:rRNA from 2 species